CGGUAAUACCAGCUCUCCGAGUAGUGUGGACGUUUAUUGGGCCUAAAGCAUCCGUAGCUUGCUAGAUAAGUCCUCUGUUAAAUCCACCGAUUCAAUCGUUGGAUUGCGGGGGAUACUGUUUGGCUAGGGGACGGGAGAGGUCGACGGUAUUUCCGGGGUAGGGGUGAAAUCCUAUAAUCCCGGGAAGACCACCAGUGGCGAAGGCUGUCGGCUAGAACGCG
rnacentral:rRNA from 1 species